rnacentral:rRNA from 1 species
CAAAGGUUGACCUCGAAUCAGGUAGGAAUACCCGCUGAACUUAAGCAUAUCAAUA